AUUAACGCUGGCGGCGUGCCUAAGACAUGCAAGUCGAACGUGAAAGUUCUUCGGAAUGAGUAAAGUGGCGCACGGGUGAGUAAUACUUGGGUAAUGUACCUUAUCGCUGGGGAUAACCAGGCGAAAGCUUGGCUAAUACCGAAUAAUCCGGCAGAAACUGCGGUUUCAGUCGGUAAAGCCGUAAGGCGCGAUUUGAGCAGCCCAAGUCCCAUUAACUAGUUGGCGGGGUAAAAGCCCACCAAGGUUACGAUGGGUAGCUGGUCUGAGAGGACGAUCAGCCACACUGGUACUGAAACACGGACCAGACUCCUACGGGAGGCAGCAGUUAGGAAUUUUGCGCAAUGGACGAAAGUCUGACGCAGCAACGCCGCGUGAGUGAUGAAGGCCUUCGGGUUGUAAAGCUCUUUUAGUUGGGGCGAAAAAAUGACGGUACCAACAG
rnacentral:rRNA from 1 species